GACGAACCGUACGAACGUUAUUCGGAAUCACUGGGCUUAAAGGGUGCGUAGGCGGCGCGGAAAGUUGGGUGUGAAAGCCCUCGGCUCAACCGAGGAAUUGCGCUCAAAACUACCGUGCUUGAGGGAGAUAGAGGUGAGUGGAACUAAGGGUGGAGCGGUGAAAUGCGUUGAUAUCCUUAGGAACACCGGUGGCGAAAGCGACUCACUGGAUCUCUUCUGACGCUGAGGCACGAAAGCUAGGGUAGCGAACGGGAUUAGAUACCCCGGUAGUCCUAGCUGUAAACGAUGAGCACUGGAUCGGAGAGCCCUCCAUAGCUUUCCGGUCGUAGCGAAAGUGUUAAGUGCUCCGCCUGGGGAGUAUGGUCGCAAGGCUGAA
rnacentral:rRNA from 1 species